GCACUCACUUUGACAGCACAUACACUAAAGUUGGGCCAAUGUGGAGAUUAGCAUGCCCCUGUGCUAUGGUGUCACCCAAAUUCGUGACACACUCCAUAUUCUU
rnacentral:snRNA from 1 species